AUUGAUGUUGAAUCGUGAUGGAUGAGAACCGAAAGGUUCGACAAAAUCGGCAGUAUCGAUUUUGAACAAUGCGAAAGCGUUGGCCCGUAGGACGAGUAAUCCUGCACGACCCACCA
rnacentral:sRNA from 1 species